UGUCAACCUAAUCACAUCCACGUUAAAGGUAAGAAGAAGGAGAGAAGGGGUAGGGCCAAUGGAGGAAUACUGUUUUGUUAAGAGAGAAAAGACUUUCUUGAGACCUCUUUGUAGAUUUCUGCUUGUGCCUCAGUAGCUGAGCUGUGUUAUGUGGUCACUCCUAGCUGCAAUGGAAGCUGCGGGGGAGAACAUUUGUCAUCUGUGUCGUUUAUAGUGUAAAUGAGCAGAAAAGAAGGGGAUGAGAAUGAGUGCUAGGUCAGAUAACCAUAGUAUCUGUCACACCAUUAAGUAAUGUUACACUAUUGAAAGAGACACACAUGGAGAAUUACAAUACAGAGUGCUAAAUAAUUUCAUAUACACCCACAAAUGUAAUAGGGACUGAAAAGGGAAAAUUUAAUUCCCUGUUAGAGUUCAGAAUAUCAUUACAAUGCAUUCAUUAUUAAGGCUAUUUGAGCAUGGAAAUGCAGGUGUGUAAAUACAGACUAACACACUUGACAAGCAAAAUGAAUCAUAGAAAGAUUUGAGAAUUAUCAUGGUGGAUCAAUUACUGCUUAAAAGUAUCCACUCUCUCCCUCCCACCUUCAUGCUCGCUGCUCACUAGACUGAUGGGACCAAUGUUGAGUUUGACCAUGUGGCUUGCUGACAUCAUGAUAGGCUAUGUGCACUUUUCUGCUUCUUGACUUUGGACUCAGCAUGUGGCUUGGCCAAUGAGAUCGUAGCCGUAAUGAUGUAAGCAGAGAAGCUUGAAAUGCAUUUGGAAGAGGCGCUUCCUUUCAGUCACUGCUGGACCUUCCACUUGGGCUCCAGAAUGGACACACCUGGAGCAGAUUUGCACCAAACCUACAGUGAGCAGCCAAGCCCAGCUGGUCCCAGGCUGGAAUACAAGCUGCUCGGCUGAGCUUAGCUAACUCCCAUCCAACCUAACAGAAACAUGAGUGAGAAUAAAUGAUUGUUAUUUUAAAUUACUGAGUUCAGGAUGGCUUGUUACACAGCAAUAGCUAACUGAUACAAACACAUACUGUAAAAGUGCAUGUGUUCAAAACCCACAAAUUCAGAACCUAUGUUGACAGGAUGGGUUAUUCAUUUUUAAAUAAAAUAUGAUAAAUUUCAACACAAUGUAGUAUGUUUAAAAAUGCAAGUGAAGACAAAAUAUGGAGCUAUAAUAAGGGAGAGGACUAUUGAUUCUAUGGAGGAAGGGAGGAAGAACUAGCAGGGACAUAAGGCUUCUUGGAGGAGAGGAGCAUCUGAAUUGCCAUUUUAAAGUUCAGUAGAAGAUCACCGACAGAGAGAAAUAGGGAGAGAGUGGGAACAGAAGGAUUAAUAUUAUGUACAGUUUCGAGGCAAAAAGGGGCACACUAAAUGUGGGGAACCAUUAGCAAUUCAAUAUUACCAGAAGGUUAGUGGUGAGGGACAAUGUGUCUAAAAUCUCUUGAGAGGGUCUGCUAUGCGAGGCCAAGGCACUUUUCUUUUGCCUAACCAUAAGGACAAUGGAGAGCAAUGUAGAUCACUGGCAUGUUUUAAUGUAUUCAAAUUAGUAAUAAUUCUAUUGGUAACAGCUAACAUUUAUUGAGUGCUUACUAGGUGCAAAACACUGGGUCACGUAUAUGUAUUCUUCACAACACUAAAAGACAGGUAUUAUUAUUAUUCCCAUUUAACAGAUGAGGAAACUGAGGCCUAGAGAGGUAAAACAACUUGUCCAAAGUCACAGAGUAACUGUCAGAGUGAGGAUUUGACCAAAACUGCUCAACUCCGGAUUCUUCCUCCCCAACCACUGCUGUUCCUGAUUCUCUAUAUAGCAGAUUGAGGAGUUGGCCAAGUCACUCAGGAAAUUAUUCAACAAACAUAUUGGAACGCAUAUUCCUAAUGUUACAAUUUCAACAUACUUUAUAGACUCUUGUUACAUGGAAGUCACUGCGCCAGUCAAUGAAGACUUCAAGUAUGAAGAGGACUUGAUCUUUGCCGUUAAGAAAUUUGAGUGACAGAAAAUCAAUGCUUAGUGCCAACAACUUUUGUCUGUUCAUUAAAGUAGGUUCUAUGAGGCAGUGGCUCUAUGAGGCAGUGGCUCCUGAGCUUGGCUCUGGGUCAAAGUACCUGAGUAACGGAGUUAAAAAAAUUUUUUUUAAUACAAAGCUUCCAGGUACCAUCCCAGAUCAACUGGAAAAAGAUCUCUAGGGUGGGGAUCUUGGAAACCCCUCUCCCUUCCUCUCUCCUGUUCUUUCUCUCUCUUUCUUUGCACUUCCUAGGUCAUUCCAUAGUCUCUGUGAAAGUGAUAUUAUCCCUGUUGGUCCUCCUCAGACUCUCCAAGAUAUGCAGAGCUUUGGGCCAGGAUCCUACAGCCACGGGUCAUGCAGAGCCAGUUGGCCACAUCCUUUGGGCCAAAUUUGGUCCUAACCAGGUCUUACCACGGUAACUGCUAACCAGUCCAUCUUCAGUUAAUAUUUCAUGCGUAAGAUGUUUCAUGAAGUAACUGAAUGGGCUAAUGGGUUGUUCACUGGAUAAGACUCCCAGAUACUCCCUUUCAUGCCAUUCCCCAGAAUUCCUUCACCUCCCAGUGCUGUCUGUAAGGGUGAAGAUACUCCAUUUUGCCCCAUGCUCUUUGCUGUGCCCCAGAUAGGCUCAAACAUUUUUCCCUUUUGGGGAUUUUGCAGGUAGGAAUUGUUGAACAUCUUACCAUUUAAUCCAGAAGUUAUGUCCUUUAAGGAAUCGACCCUGAGCCUGUGAGUUUUACUUUGGGUUGGGGGUGAAGGAGUGGACCUUGCAGCAUUCAAGGUCAUCCAAGAUCAUCCAGUUAAGGCCCCUAAGGUCACUACGGGGGGAAAAGCCUGGUGAGGGAAGAGAAAGCAUUAGGGGGAGCUGCACCGUGCUGAGAAAUAACACCACACAGAAGUCUGUGUUCUAAUCUCAGCUCUGCUUUGCAUUACUGUGUGACCUGGAGCUGAUCACAGCCCUCUGAGUCUUAAAGGGGUUGGACAAGGCCAACUAAACAUUAGAAACACCUGAAAGUGCUGGUUAAAAGGAAGAAUGCAUGAGCUUCACUCCAGAUUUACUAUAUCAGAAUUUCCAGGGUCAGGGUCCAAGAAUCUGCAUGUUUAAUACGCUUUCCACAUGAUUUUUCCCCCCUCUGGACUUAAGAAAACAAUGGGCAAGUCAGCUCAUGAAGAACUUUUCAGAUAUUCAGACUAUUAUUCUGAGAGAGAAAAUAUUGGCAGAGAACAGAUGGGAUUUUUCUCAAGGAAAAGAAAUGGAAAUCCUACAUCUUGCAAGAAAUAGAAAAAAAUAAAUAAACUGUUUGAAGAAGAAUCACAUCAGGCUGGCAGGAGAGAGCCUGCGGCUCGGUGUCUGACCCAGAAUGUUAAAGCCAGCCUGGCUUGGCUCCAGGAUAAAGGACACUCUGUCAGCCUCUCCACAUUGAUUCAUCUCCCCAGCCCCAAGAUCAGGAGAGCAUUCUGUUCCUUGAAGCAUUUUAUGACUGUAAGUCAGAAGUGCUGCAGUUUUAAUAAAAAGCUGUAUUGUCCU
ensembl:lncRNA novel transcript